AGAGUUUGAUCCUGGCUCAGAAUUGAACGCUGGCGGCACGCUUUACACAUGCAAGUCGAACGGCAGCAUAGGUGCUUCGCACCUGAUGGCGAGUGGCGAACGGGUGAGUAAUAUAUCGGAACGUGUCCGGAAGUGGGAAAUAACGCAGCGAAAGUUGCGCUAAUACCGCAUAUGCCCUGAGAGGAAGGAGAAAAUCGCAAGACCUCUCGCUUCUCGGAGCGGCCGAUAUCGGAUAGCUAGUUGGUGAAGUAAAGGCCCACCAAGGCGACGAUCCGUAGCUGAUCUGAGAGGACGACCAGCCACACUGGGACUGAGACACGGCCCAGACUCCUACGGGAGGCAGCAGUGGGGAAUUUUGGACAAUGGGCGCAAGCCUGAUCCAGCCAUGCCGCGUGAGUGAAGAAGGCCUUCGGGUUGUAAAGCUCUUUCGGACAGAAAGAAAUCGCACAGGCUAAUACUCUGUGUGGGAUGACGGUACUGUAAGAAGAAGCACCGGCUAACUACGUGCCAGCAGCCGCGGU
rnacentral:rRNA from 1 species